GUGACAGAGCAAGACUGUCUCAAAAAAUAAAAAUUAAAAAAAAAAUUAAAGGACAGAAAUCAAGCCAGUGUGACUGGAAGGGAGUGGCGAGGAGGAAAGUGGUCCCCAACAAGGUCCAAGGAAAAGGCUGUGUCACAGAGGGAGUGUCAGCAAGAGGAGGCUGUAUUCUCAGGAAAGGGUGAGGUGAAGAGACAGGAGCCACCGUGCCGGGCCUAAUUUUGUGGUUUUGACAAACACAUCAAGGUUAUCUAAGAUGUUAACAUUAGGGGGAGCAGAAUGGAGGGCAUACGGGAACUCUCUGUACUAUCUUUGCAACUUUUCUAUAAAUCUACAAUUAUUACAAAGUAAAAAGUUUAGUUAAAAGACUAUUUCAGGCCAGGCAUGGUAGCUCACACCUGUAAUCACAGCACUGUGGGAGGCCGAGGGAGGUGGAUCAUCUGAGGUCACUGAGGCAUGAGAAUCUCUUGAACCUAGGAGGCGGAGGUUGCAGUAAGCCAAGUUUGCAUCACUGUACUCCGGCCUGGGCAACAGAAUGAGACUCCCGAGGUGUGCGCUCCAUCACUGAUGUCUGUGCCGUGGCUCUGCCUCUGACCAGAUGGCCCCAGCAUACUUGCCAAAGAGUGAAGAAGCCCAAGGGGCUUGCACAGCUUUUGUCACCACAGCCCUCCUGCCUGUUAGGAGUUUGGUACAGGAAUAGGGAAAAGGGAGAGGGAUGUAGCAGCAGCCAGCUCUAAAGAUCCUCUCCCAUUGUUCCAAGGAGUCAGUCUUUUUCUGCAGGCAAGCCAUGGAAGGAUUUUAAGUAGUGGAGUGACACCGUGAGACUUCGGCCUUACCCGAUUGAUUCAUCCUGCCUCAAGGCGUCUGGGUCAGGUGGUCAGGAAAGGCCUGGACAGUGAGAGUGAGUCCAGGUUGCUGCAGGCUUUUAGGUGAAAGACAAGAGGCCCCAAAGACCUCUUCAGUAGAGAUGAGAGGGACGAGACCUUUCCAGACCUGGUGAGUUACAGGCCAUGAGGAGUGAAAAAGAAGAUCGGGUUAAGAUUUCUGGCUCUGAGGACUGUCCUCCCAGGGCAGCCAGAAGCUUGGUCCUUCCUGUCUCAGUGGUCCUUGUGGAUUUCAGUUGAAUGGAACUGUCCUUUGUGGCUUUGAAGGGUUAUGUAUCGGGGAAGAGGGACUAUCUCUCACCCAAACCAGGACACCUAAAGAUUAGCAAAGGUUACCUGCUCCCAGGAGAAACCUGUUGCUGGGAGUGUCAUUGAGGCUUGUUAGCAAGGAAUGGCCUGCACCGUGGGACGCGUCGGGCCACCUGGUCCCAGGGAUGCUGCGGUAUAAGU
rnacentral:lncRNA from 1 species